rnacentral:misc_RNA from 1 species
GGUAGUAAAAGUCGUAACAAGGUCUCCGUUGGUGAACCAGCGGAGGGAUCAUUACAGGACUCGCAAGACUCCUUCACCCUGUGAACCCCACUACAAGCACGUUGCUUCGGCGGGUGUCCCGGCGGGGGUUUUCCCUCGCCGGGGCGCACAGCCCGCCGGCAGCCUACUAUACUCUGUCUCUUUGCGUUGGCAUCUCGAGUAAAAACAAACAAGUUAAAACUUUCAACAACGGAUCUCUUGGUUCUG